GUGGGAUCUAGGAAAAGUGCAGGCCUCCGGUUUCUUUACUCAUCUCAAGGUGGUGAGAGGCCUUGCCUGGAAGAAGAGCAGGUUACACCAAGAUGGGGAAUGGAGCAGUGUGCAGCUGCCACCAGCCAGGCGGAGACUUUAGGAUUCACUUCUGGACAGGGACAGGGAAAACAUUUUCCUUUCAAUGCCUCGAGGCCCUUCAGCAACUGUAGGAGCGGGCGUGGUGUCGUCGCUACUGUCAAAUCCUGGACCCGGCAGCCGACUUUUUCCUGACUUGGACAUCAGCAGCGGAAGCAAGGGAAGUUUCAAGACACACAGUAAAGUUUGCUUCAGUC
ensembl:lincRNA Gm2762 predicted gene 2762